AGUACGGUUUUCGGAGGGAUCAGACUCAGACUCACGUCGCACUCCUCGCAGUUGGACUGGUGGGAACUGGGAACACUGGAGACCUGAUUUCUAGCUGACGCUACCGUCGCGGCCGCCGAACAGUCCUGGGUUCUGAGCCUGCCAUCCAAGGAACUCAGGAGGAGGAGUUGACAGUGUCUUCGUUCCUAACCAGCGUGGGACAACUUCAGCAUGUCUCAGGCCACCAAGAGGAAGCAUGUGGUGAAGGAGGUGCUAGGGGAGCACAUAGUGCCCUCCGACCAGCAGCAGAUUGUCAGGGUACUCAGGACCCCAGGGAACAAUCUGCAUGAGGUGGAGACAGCCCAAGGGCAGCGCUUCCUGGUGAGCAUGCCCUCCAAAUACCGCAAGAACAUCUGGAUCAAGAGAGGUGAGAGGAUUACUCCUGUAAUCCCGGCACUUUGAGAGGCUGAGAUGGGAGGAUCGCUUGAGACCAGCCUGGGCAGCAUAAUGAGACCUUGUCUCUACAAAAAGAAAAAAAUUAGUUGGGCACGUGCCUGUGAUCCCAGCUACUCAGGAGGCUGA
rnacentral:sRNA from 1 species